rnacentral:lncRNA from 1 species
AGAAGCCAUGUCCUCAGCAACUUUGUCAUGGAAACAAUAUCUUAUCUCCUAGUUCUUGGUACUUCCUGGUGGAAAACAUUGUUAAUCUUUGUCUUUGCCAUCAUACUCAUUGGCAUAUUGCUGUGCUAUGGCAUUUUGCUGCAUCAAUAUGGUUCCAGUACUAAUGAAUUCUUGUUUCUCUUAUAGACCAUCCAUCACUCAAAUGGCCCUCCAGCCUAUUACUUCUCAAUCAGACUUCUAUCAUGGACCACUCGAUAGACCCAAUUUUUAAAGGGGGACUCCAAACUGCUUGCCCCACACCGUCCCUUUUCAGCCUGAAGAAGCCAGAGAGAUUCUCUUCGCCCCACUUCCUUACAGCAGUAAGGAGUUCCCAACUUAGAGGGGGGAAUGAAGCCAGAUUUAAAGUUAGGUAGUCAGUGUAGUUUUUUUAGAUUUCACUCAGUAUUAGAUUUCACUCUAAUACCCAGUGAAAUCUAAAAUGGAGGCCAUGCUGGCAAUGAUUCCGGAAACGCAGGACAACUCAAGGAAUGUUAAUGAAGUCCGAAAAGGCCCUAGGCCAAAGUCCACCUCAAAGAAAUGUUAAUGAACAGCCCCCAGCAAAAAGGUGCUGACUCAGAAGUCCUUCCUGACCAGAUUACUUCUUUGGCCCACCUGUGUCCCACCCCUCGGGCCUUCCAACCUACAUUCCAU